UCGUGCUAGAUGGGGAGGUAGCGGUGCCCUGUAACCCACAAUCCGCUAUAGUGGGGUCGAUGCCCGGCAGCGGGUCUGUUUCAUGGGGUCCGGUCUCCGUAAGUGGUGUGGACGGUUGGGUCCUGCGCAACACAAGCUCUCGAACCGUGUCAGGUCCUGACGGAAGCAGCACUAAGGGAUGUCUUGGGUGUGCCGCGGGAGUGCCUGGCCUGAGCUAACUGCGGGGAUAACGCCUGGGAGGCAGGAUUCAAUGCCGGGUGCACGG
rnacentral:SRP_RNA from 2 species